rnacentral:rRNA from 1 species
UAUUGGACAAUGGGGGGAACCCUGAUCCAGCGACGCCGCGUGAGUGAAGAAGUAUCUCGGUAUGUAAAGCACUAUCAGCAGGGAAGAAGAAAUGACGGUACCUGAGUAAGAAGCCCCGGCUAACUACGUGCCAGCAGACGCGGUAAUACGUAGGGGGCAAGCGUUAUCCGGAUUUACUGGGUGUAAAGGGAGCGUAGACGGCGAUGCAAGUCUGAAGUGAAAGGCGGGGGCCCAACCCCCGGACUGCUUUGGAAACUGUAUAGCUGGAGUGCAGGAGAGGUAAGCGGAAUUCCUAGUGUAGCGGUGAAAUGCGUAGAUAUUAGGAGGAACACCAGUGGCGAAGGCGGCUUACUGGACAAUAACUGACGCUGAGGCUCGAAAGCGUGGGGAGCAAACAGG